rnacentral:rRNA from 1 species
UGGGGAAUUUUGGACAAUGGGCGAAAGCCUGAUCCAGCAAUGCCGCGUGUGUGAAGAAGGCCUUCGGGUUGUAAAGCACUUUUGUCCGGAAAGAAAUCCUUGGCUCUAAUACAGUCGGGGGAUGACGGUACCGGAAGAAUAAGCACCGGCUAACUACGUGCCAGCAGCCGCGGUAAUACGUAGGGUGCAAGCGUUAAUCGGAAUUACUGGGCGUAAAGCGUGCGCAGGCGGUUUGCUAAGACCGAUGUGAAAUCCCCGGGCUCAACCUGGGAACUGCAUUGGUGACUGGCAGGCUAGAGUAUGGCAGAGGGGGGUAGAAUUCCACGUGUAGCAGUGAAAUGCGUAGAGAUGUGGAGGAAUACCGAUGGCGAAGGCGAGCCCCCUGGGCCAAUACUGACGCUCAUGCACGAAAGCGUGGGGAGCAAACAGGAUUAGAUACCCUGGUAGUCCACGCCCUAAACGAUGUCAACUAGUUGUUGGGGGAUUCAUUUCCUUAGUAACGUAGCUAACGCGUGAAGUUGACCGCCUGGGGAGUACGGUCGCAAGAUUAAAACUCAAAUGAAUUGACGGGGUCAUAGCUGUUUCCU